rnacentral:rRNA from 1 species
GUUGUAUGGUUAAGUGACUAAGCGUACACGGUGGAUGCCUUGGCAGUCAGAGGCGAUGAAAGACGUAGUAACUUGCGAUAAGCCCAGAUUAGGUAGUAACAACCAUUUGAGUCUGGGAUUUCUGAAUGGGGAAACCCACGUGCAUAAGCACGUAUCCUUACCUGAAUACAUAGGGUAAGGAGGCGAACCGGGGGAACUGAAACAUCUAAGUACCCCGAGGAAAAGAAAUCAACCGAGAUUCCGAAAGUAGCGGCGAGCGAAAUUGGACUAGCCCUUAAGCUUUACACGCGUUAGACGAACGGUCUGGAAAGUCCGACGAUACAGGGUGAUAGUCCCGUAGUUGACGACGUGUGUUCAGUGAAAUCGAGUAGGGCGGGACACGUGAUAUCCUGUCUGAAUAUGGGGGGACCAUCCUCCAAGGCUAAAUACUACUGACUGACCGAUAGUGAACCAGUACCGUGAGGGAAAGGCGAAAAGAACCCCUGUGAGGGGAGUGAAAUAGAACCUGAAACCGUGUACGUACAAGCAGUAGGAGCAGGCUUUGUCCUGUGACUGCGUACCUUUUGUAUAAUGGGUCAGCGACUUAUAUUCAGUGGCAAGGUUAACCAUCUAGGGGAGCCGUAGGGAAACCGAGUCUUAACUGGGCGUUCAGUCUCUGGAUAUAGACCCGAAACCAGGUGAUCUAGCCAUGGGCAGGUUGAAGGUUGAGUAACAUCAACUGGAGGACCGAACCGACUAAUGUUGAAAAAUUAGCGGAUGACUUGUGGCUAGGGGUGAAAGGCCAAUCAAACCUGGAGAUAGCUGGUUCUCCCCGAAAGCUAUUUAGGUAGCGCCUCGGACGAAUACUACUGGGGGUAGAGCACUGUUAAGGCUAGGGGGUCAUCCCGACUUACCAACCCUUUGCAAACUCCGAAUACCAGUAAGUACUAUCCGGGAGACACACGGCGGGUGCUAACGUCCGUCGUGGAGAGGGAAACAACCCAGACCGCCAGCUAAGGUCCCAAAUUACUACUAAGUGGGAAACGAUGUGGGAAGGCUCAGACAGCCAGGAUGUUGGCUUAGAAGCAGCCAUCAUUUAAAGAAAGCGUAAUAGCUCACUGGUCGAGUCGGCCUGCGCGGAAGAUGUAACGGGGCUAAGUAGUAAACCGAAGCUGCGGCAAUAUACUUUUGUAUAUUGGGUAGGGGAGCGUUCUGUAAGCGGUUGAAGGUGUGUGGUAACGCAUGCUGGACGUAUCAGAAGUGCGAAUGCUGACAUGAGUAACGAUAAAGGGGGUGAAAAACCUCCUCGCCGGAAGACCAAGGGUUCCUGUCCAACGUUAAUCGGGGCAGGGUAAGUCGACCCCUAAGGCGAGGCCGAAAGGCGUAGUCGAUGGGAAACGGGUUAAUAUUCCCGUACUUCUUACAAUUGCGAUGGGGGGACGGAGAAGGCUAGGUGGGCCUGGCGACGGUUGUCCAGGUUCAAGUGCGUAGGCUUAAGAGUUAGGUAAAUCCGGCUCUUUUUAAGGCUGAGACACGACGUCGAGCACCUACGGGUGUGAAGUCAUUGAUGCCAUGCUUCCAGGAAAAGCCUCUAAGCUUCAGAUUGUAAGGAAUCGUACCCCAAACCGACACAGGUGGUCGGGUAGAGAAUACCAAGGCGCUUGAGAGAACUCGGGUGAAGGAACUAGGCAAAAUGGUACCGUAACUUCGGGAGAAGGUAC